ACUGCUCAGUAACACGUGGACAACAUGCCCUUAGGUUGGGUAUAAACCCGGGAAACUGGGUAUAAUACCCGAUAGGUCUCGAUUGCUGGAAUGCAUCGAGAUUUAAAGCUCCGGCGCCUAAGGAUGGGUCUGCGGCCUAUCAGGUAGUAGUGGGUGUAGCGUACCUACUAGCCUACGACGGGUACGGGUUGUGAGAGCAAGAGCCCGGAGAUGGAUUCUGAGACACGAAUCCAGGCCCUACGGGGUGCAGCAGGCGCGAAAACUUUACAAUGCUGGCAACAGCGAUAAGGGAACCUCGAGUGCCAGGUUACAAAUCUGGCUGUCGAGAUGCCUAAAAAGCAUUUCAUAGCAAGGGCCGGGCAAGACCGGUGCCAGCCGCCGCGGUAACACCGGCGGCUCGAGUGGUAACCGUUAUUAUUGGGUCUAAAGGGUCUGUAGCCGGCCGGAUAAGUCUCUUGAGAAAUCUGGCAGCUUAACUGUCAGGCUUUCAGGAGAUACUGUCUGGCUCGAGGCCGGGAGAGGUGAGAGGUACUUCAGGGGUAGGGGUGAAAUCUUGUAAUCCUUGAAGGACCACCAGUGGCGAAGGCGUCUCACCAGAACGGACCUGACGGCAAGGGACGAAAGCUAGGGGCACGAACCGGAUUAGAUACCCGGGUAGUCCUAGCCGUAAACGAUACUCGCUAGGUGUCGGCCACGGUGCGACCGUUGUCGGUGCCGUAGGGAAGCCGUGAAGCGAGCCACCUGGGAAGUACGGCCGCAAGGCUGAAACUUAAAGGAAUUGGCGGGGGAGCAC
rnacentral:rRNA from 1 species